GACGUAGGGCGCGAGCGUUGUCCGGAUUUAUUGGGCGUAAAGAGCUCGUAGGCGGCUUGUCGCGUCGUCCGUGAAAACUUGGGGCUCAACCCCAAGCUUGCGGUCGAUACGGGCAGGCUAGAGUUCGGUAGGGGAGACUGGAAUUCCUGGUGUAGCGGUGAAAUGCGCAGAUAUCAGGAGGAACACCGGUGGCGAAGGCGGGUCUCUGGGCCGAUAUUGACGCUGAGGAGCGAAAGCGUGGGGAGCAAACAGG
rnacentral:rRNA from 1 species